AAUACAAUUGCAAUAUUUUCAUACAAAGUGAAGUUAAUGGAACAUAGUAACAACAAGAAUUGUCUGACACUUCCAUAAAUAUUUUUACAGAAACAUCUACACAACUUCUGGACUUCAGCUUUUGUUAUACAGGUCCAACUUUAAAAGUGAGGAACCUUUUGAUUAGUUUUCCUUACAGAUAAAUCAGUGUCUCCCAGUCUCUUCCUCUCUUGCUCAAUGAUUGACUCCAAGACCUUGUAGUAGAGCAUCUCAGCACGACGAAAAUGUUUACUAGCAACAUCUGCAGGAAGUUAAAUAGAAGCAAUAUUGUAAAAUGCAAUAAAAAAUUAUUACAUUCUUCAUCUUCACAUACAGAAAUGCAACAAUAGCUUGUGUGGAUUUGUGUGCUGCUGUGGAUACAAUACUUUCAGGACUAAACCAGUAAAUUUCAAGUUAAUGUAGGAAUCCUUCUCCUACACUGCACUGAUUUGUGAAUGCAGAGCAGAGUAAUUUGCUACUGAGCACAGAUUUUGGGUAUCAGCAUUACAUCACCAUGCAUAAGAACAAUCCUUAAUGUUGCUGUAAUAGACACAAUGCAAAUUCAGAAAAUGUACCUGUAUGGAUCCACCUUGCACUGUGCAACAAAAAGCAGUGAAGCAACUAAGCUGACAAGAACAAAGGAAGGCCUUAUUAAGAAACAAGGUCAAGAUCAUCUUCCUUAUAUUCAAUCCAUCUUCAGGCACUUCAGCUAUCAAGACAACUUUGCAAAUCAUGUUUUUGUGUUUAUACUGGCAGGAUUUUAAUACCUUUACUAAUCCAUCCUCAUAUGUAAGCCAAAGUUGCUGUUGGGUUUUUAAAGACUACAGUUACUCGGAUUUUCCUUACCAGCACAGAAAUCCAUGCCAUCACUAAUAAUCUUAUACUUGAGAGAAAAAGUGGUACACUUAUAAGUCCUUUUCAUUUCACUCUCUAGUGCUGAAAGUACGAUCAAAUUCCAGCAAUUCAAGCUAUGGCUGAUUAUAAAAUUUUACAGAGUAUUGAAAUUUGCUAUGUCUUAAGAGCAUAGGAAAAGGCAAGAGAAGUAGAAAAGACAUUUGUGCUAAAGCAUAACCUAUAUGUAAAACUUAAUUACAAGAGAUGGAUGUGUAUGCAUUUUAUGGGUAAGUGAAAUAUUUCCCACCUUUGGAAAAGUUACUGAAUUCUCCUUCAGACUGAGUGCUCUGACAGUACACAUCAUGCAUUUCUUUAACUCUGUUUGCAAUGGAUUGAGAAGGAUCUCUGGAGCAUGACCUGAAAAUAGAAACUAAACAUUUUCAGUUCCUACUAAGACCAAAACCACCCUAUUUUUUAAUAUGUUGAGAGCAUAAAAAAUGGAAACAUAUUGCACAGCAAUACAAACAGACCUAAAUGUGGCUAACUGCAAAACAGUUUAUACAUAUGGAGAAUAAAAUUUGGUUUGCAUCUC